UCUGCGCUAGGGAUUGCAGCGGCAUCCUUUUUUGAAUUUUUCUACAUAAAAAGAUAUAGCGGAAAGCCCGCCCGAGC
rnacentral:sRNA from 1 species